AUUAAUUUGAGAGUUUGAUCCUGGCUCAGGACGAACGCUGGCGGCGUGCCUAAUACAUGCAAGUCGAACGAACUCUGGUAUUGAUUGGUGCUUGCAUCAUGAUUUACAUUUGAGUGAGUGGCGAACUGGUGAGUAACACGUGGGA
rnacentral:rRNA from 1 species